UACGAAGGGGGCUAGCGUUGUUCGGAAUUACUGGGCGUAAAGCGUGCGCAGGCGGCUUCUCAAGUCAGGGGUGAAAGCCCAGAGCUCAACUCUGGAAUUGCCUUUGAGACUGAGUGGCUUGAGUACGAGAGAGGUGAGUGGAAUUCCCAGUGUAGAGGUGAAAUUCGUAGAUAUUCGGAAGAACACCAGUGGCGAAGGCGACUCGCUGGACACGUAUUGACGCUGAGGUGCGAAAGCGUGGGGAGCAAACAGG
rnacentral:rRNA from 1 species